rnacentral:lncRNA from 1 species
AGAAACUCUGGAUGCAAUCCAAGGCAAGGACCAGCCCUGAGAAGCUUUAGCUGGGGAUACAGAGGUAGCUCGUUGCAGAGGGACCCCACAGGAUUGGAAAUUGUGGCACCAGAAGAUUUGAGUGAGACUCUCAAUGCAGAGACAUUCCCAAAAUGUUGGUUCAAGUUAGUGUGGAGAAAGAGUCAAGUGAUGCUGUGAAAUUUUUCUUCAGCCAUGGAAAUCUAAGUCAGUCGUCUAAGGGAAACAGCGUCAUGGAUAAUUCUUCCUCUUCCGGUGUGUGGACUGCGGCCCUCAGCUACCCUGUCUCCAGCCAGCCUGAUGUUCAUUCGACACUCCAGAUAUCUCACUGCUCCUUGUAGUUUCAUCUCUUUUCUUUGUCCAUUACAAUGUUCACCAUGAGUGGGUUUUUUAAGGUUGGAUUCUGCUUAGACUUCUUUUUGAGGCCAGAGACUUCAUGAG